UACGGAGGGGGCUAGCGUUGUUCGGAAUUACUGGGCGUAAAGCGCACGUAGGCGGACUGUUAAGUCGGGGGGUGAAAUCCUGGGGCUCAACCUCAGAAUUGCCUCCGAUACUGGCAGUCUCGAGUGCGGGAGAGGUGAGUGGAAUUCCCAGUGUAGAGGUGAAAUUCGUAGAUAUUGGGAAGAACACCAGUGGCGAAGGCGGCUC
rnacentral:rRNA from 1 species